rnacentral:rRNA from 1 species
UACGUAGGGCGCAAGCGUUGUCCGGAAUUAUUGGGCGUAAAGAGCUCGUAGGCGGUCUGUCGCGUCCGUUGUGAAAACUCGAGGCUCAACCUCGGGCUUGCAGUGGAUACGGGCAGACUAGAGUGCGGUAGGGGAGACUGGAAUUCCUGGUGUAGCGGUGGAAUGCGCAGAUAUCAGGAGGAACACCGAUGGCGAAGGCAGGUCUCUGGGACGGGUACGACGCUGAGACGCGAAAGCGUGGGGAGCGAACAG